UCUAGCAAUUCAAAGGGGUCCUGCCAUGGGAUAGCAAACGGCAGAUAGACAUGGAUGGACAGUAGCAGCACUGAAGAAACUUCUGCCAGGCAUUGGGGCUGAGAUGGUUGGAUCGUCACAGGCUGGAGCAGCAAUGAAGAGGAAGCCACUCAGAAGUGAAGCUGAGAAGGAUGGGAUCAGCAAUGAAGAAGCUUUCAUGAAACAAUGCAAUUGAUGACAGAUGAAAGUGAUGAUAGUCAAGAGAAUCACAGAGGAUCUAGUUAACUUAAAAGUGACAACGCCUGCCAAACCCUAUUAGAAGACACUGAAACUGUGAAAGAGCCGUUCAGAUGAUAAUGAAGCCAUUUAACAGCUGAGAUUCUGAACUCAUCACAUGACUCCAGGAGUUUGGAUUUUGAAUUGCCCUAUAGCACCUAUGCUUAAAUUCAACUCUAAGAAAGAAAGAUUGCAACUUCUUAAACCAACAACAGCUGGAAAUCACUUCAGGAUUCCAUUACUGCCUAAGCAUCCAUGGAGAGUGGUGGAUUGAGACCAUAAAUUACUUUUGCAAAUAGCAGAUUACCUGCCCAAUGUGGAAUGAACAGAAUGGCAAUAUAUGUAAUAUUUUGUAUCACUAACAUCUUUAUGCAGAAUUAUCAUGAGUGGAUAAUCUGAGAAAACAUAAAGCAACGUUUCAAUUAUACCAUGUGGUCUCUAACUUUGGUUUAUAUAGUUCAUAGAUAUUUUAGCUAUUCUCUUUGGUGCCAAAUACUCCUUGUAAUUUGUUUCUAACAGUACAAGAGACAGAAUACAGGCAGCUAACUGCAUUGUGUUUUUCUUGUAGAGAUUAAUUUGAAAUUUCAAUAGGUACAAGUU